CAGGCCUAACACAUGCAAGUCGAGCGGAGCGAGGGUGCUUGCACCUUAGCUUAGCGGCGGACGGGUGAGUAAUGCUUAGGAAUCUGCCUAUUAGUGGGGGACAACGUUUCGAAAGGAACGCUAAUACCGCAUACGUCCUACGGGAGAAAGCAGGGGAUCUUCGGACCUUGCGCUAAUAGAUGAGCCUAAGUCGGAUUAGCUAGUUGGUGGGGUAAAGGCCUACCAAGGCGACGAUCUGUAGCGGGUCUGAGAGGAUGAUCCGCCACACUGGGACUGAGACACGGCCCAGACUCCUACGGGAGGCAGCAGUGGGGAAUAUUGGACAAUGGGGGGAACCCUGAUCCAGCCAUGCCGCGUGUGUGAAGAAGGCCUUUUGGUUGUAAAGCACUUUAAGCGAGGAGGAGGCUUACCUAGUUAAUACCUGGGAUAAGUGGACGUUACUCGCAGAAUAAGCACCGGCAACUCUG
rnacentral:rRNA from 1 species